rnacentral:ncRNA from 2 species
CGUCAAGAGUCUCAGCGACAAGCCCCGGCUGGCUGAGCGGCAACCCUCCACCGCGGUGGGGUGCCCCGGGUGAGGACAGGGUCGGGCCUGCAGGUGGUCCGACAAGCGCGGGGC